AGAAUAGGAAGUUGAAAUUCACGUGAUACAACAACUAAAGUAUUGUGUGUAGGUUUCUAAAUGCAGCUGUAGCUUUAGUAAAAAUUACAAAAAAAAUACAAAAACAAUACUGCAGUUGUGAAUUUAGUGCUGUGUAGGAGGAAACUACUUUCAGUGGAUCUUUCUCACCAUCCAGAGGCCUCAGAAGAAUCCUUGAGGAAACUUCCAGAAACCUCCUUGCUGCUUUAUGAAGUUCUCUCCUGGCCUUAUAUCAGCCUUGACCAGUGGAAGUGAGAGCAGGGACCAGACAGGCUGAGCUGCAGUACCCAGGAGGGAGAGCAGAGGGAGGGAGGAAGGAAGACUGUCGUCGCUGGACACCUGGACCUGGCAGAAACCCCUCAACUCCUCAUAAAUGAAAACUCAGUCAAAAUAUUUUCUGUGACAACAUGCACCACAUGUGGGCCUUUUGUUGGGUAGACUUUUGAGGAAGUCUUGGGGAUUUCUGUACAGCACGUUGAGAUAUCAGCUGAUGUAAGAAGGGCUAUAUAAAUUAAUUUGAUUUGAAUUCAAAUGUGUUCCAAAAAACCCUCCAUUUUGGGUUGUAAACCGGAUAGAGGAGAGAAAAAGCAUACCCAGCAUUCCCUAUGUGGAAUAUCAUGUAUGUACUGAUAACUAUUUUUAUCAGAGAGCACAUGACGAUGCCUUGUCACAAAGCAAAGUUGAGGUAAAUUACAUACUGUACCUGUGCCAAGGUUCUCCUGCUCUUUAGAGGGCGUGGCUGACAGGUAGAUGUAGGACUUGAGCUUUUCCUGCUGAAUGGCCUGCGUGUCGAUGCGUACCGCCUUGUUCAAGGAAACCACCUCGUAUGUGAUAAACAUGCAACCCCUGAGAGAGGAAUGAAGCCAUAGACAAGAUAUACAGUAGUUAGAGCAGAUAGGUCUCCAUACCCAAUGAACCCAAACUAAAAUAACUUAGUAUGGCUGAGUGUUUAUAUGUGAAGUGGUUAUCUUCACCUACCCCAAUAUGACAGCUCCGGUCAUCUUUGCAAUUUUCCCUGAAAUCAAAACAUAAGACAAAUAUGUUAUUUUUUUUAAUAACUAAGGAUAUUAAAGAAUUCCAGAUGAUUACA